GACGAACGCUGGCGGCGUGCUUAACACAUGCAAGUCGAACGCAGUGGGGACGGGUGAGUAACACGUGGGUAACCUCCCAUCAGAGGGGAUAACACUUGGAAACAGGCGCUAAACCGAUACUGAUGGAUGGACCCGGGGUGCAUUUGCUGGUUGGUGGGGUAACGGCUCACCAAGGCCACGAUGCAAAGCCGACCGGGGAGGGUGAUCGGCCACACUGGAAGUGGGACACGGCCCGACGGCCUACGGGAGGCGGCAGGAGGAAAUUUUCGGCAGUGGAGGAAAGUCUUACCGAGAAAGGCGGCGUGAGUUAAAGAGGUUUUGGGAUGGUAAAACUCGGUUGUUAGGUAAGCGGUAUCUAACCAGAAAGCCACGGCUAACUACGUGCCAGCAGCCGCGGUAAUAC
rnacentral:rRNA from 1 species